GCCGGGGUGGCGGAACUGGCAUACGCGCAAGUCUCAAAAACUUGUGAGAGCAAUUUCAUGAGGGUUCAACUCCCUCUCCCGGCACUA
rnacentral:tRNA from 2 species